rnacentral:lncRNA from 1 species
AAGUUUAAAGGGCCAAACGAGCGCUAAAGCUGCCCCCAUUCUAACCCUUUUAUUGAGGUUGUUUUGCUGCUUAAUAUUCAAGCAGGGGCGGAGCAGACAAUGAGUUUCUGUAAUUUCUCCCAAAAUUAAAUGUUUCCUUCUUCUCAAUUAUAAAUCGAUCCCUGUUCUUUGUUCUUACUUGUUAAUUCCCAAAUCGACAUUAGAUAAUAGGACUCCACUCUAGCCUGCGAUAGGGCAGGCGACUCCACUCCAAUCUAGCUCUCCAAUCAGUUAAGGUAAUUACUUUAGUCCUUCUAUAUUUUAUCUUAUUUU